UAAAAUAUAGAUAGAAUAGGUGUCUAUACAGACUUAAUAGGGAAUUCGGUAUAAGCCGGAGCGGUCCCGCCACUGUAAAGACGAGCGAUUUCACAAUUAUGUCACUGAGAAUAAAUCAUUUUCUUGGGAAGGCGUGAAUAGCUAUGACUCUAAGCCAGGAGAACUGCCUAUUUAAUAAUCACUGUU
rnacentral:ncRNA from 19 species